ensembl:snoRNA small nucleolar RNA U2-30
GAGCAAUGAUGGAAAGGUUUUACUACUGACGUUUGCAAUUAUGAAGAUUUCUGCACUUGAGCUGAGCUCA